UGGCUUAGUGGUAGAGUGUUUGCCUUGCAUGCAUGAGGGCCUGAGUUCGAUUCCUCAG
rnacentral:tRNA from 1 species